CAGCGGAAGUAGCUUGCUACUUUGCCGGCGAGCGGCGGACGGGUGAGUAAUGUCUGGGAAACUGCCUGAUGGAGGGGGAUAACUACUGGAAACGGUAGCUAAUACCGCAUAACGUCGCAAGACCAAAGAGGGGGACCUUCGGGCCUCUUGCCAUCAGAUGUGCCCAGAUGGGAUUAGCUAGUAGGUGGGGUAACGGCUCACCUAGGCGACGAUCCCUAGCUGGUCUGAGAGGAUGACCAGCCACACUGGAACUGAGACACGGUCCAGACUCCUACGGGAGGCAGCAGUGGGGAAUAUUGCACAAUGGGCGCAAGCCUGAUGCAGCCAUGCCGCGUGUAUGAAGAAGGCCUUCGGGUUGUAAAGUACUUUCAGCGGGGAGGAAGGCGUUGAGGUUAAUAACCUCAGCGAUUGACGUUACCCGCAGAAGAAGCACCGGCUAACUCCGUGCCAGCAGCCGCGGUAAUACGGAGGGUGCAAGCGUUAAUCGGAAUUACUGGGCGUAAAGCGCACGCAGGCGGUCUGUCAAGUCUGAUGUGAAAUCCCCGGGCUCAACCUGG
rnacentral:rRNA from 2 species